GGGGGAAUAUGGCACAAUGGGGGAAACCCUGAUGCAGCGACGCCGCGUGAGAGAAGAAGGUUUUCGAAGCGUAAAGCUCUGUCCGAGGGGAAGAUAAUGACGGUAACAUAGGAGGAAGCCCCGGCUAACUACGGGCCAGGAGCCGCGGUAAUAAGUAGGGGGCAAGCGUUGUCCGGAAUCACUGGGCGUAAAGGGUUCGGAGGCGGAAAUGCAAGUCAGUUGUGAAAGGCAGAGGCUCAACCUCUGUAAGCAAUUGAAACUGUAUUUCUUUAGAUGUGGAGAGGCAAGUGGAAUUCCUAGUGUAGCGGUGAAAUGCGUAGAUAUUAGAAAGAAUACCGGUGGCGAAGGCGCCUUGCUGGACUCAAACUGUCGCUGAGGAACGAAAGCGUGGGUAGCAAACAGG
rnacentral:rRNA from 1 species